UCCUAGCCCCGAUAGAAAUGGUUACCCCGCAGCUUGGGUUGGAGUGAAUGUGGUGGAGCGUGGGAGUGCAUGGGCGCGAGGAGUAUGAAUGGAUAGCGGGAAACAGC
rnacentral:sRNA from 1 species